AAAUUUUCUCCUAAACAUGCAUGUUUCCGCUGUAGGAAAUGUAUAUUGCGGAUCGCUGAAAUAUUUCAAAGCAUUAUAGUACAAUAGAUAUUUCGGGUCGAGUUUUAGGUGCAGAGGAGGGUGAAUGGAAAGACCCAUCAAAAAUUGAACCGAGCUGACGAAGAGAUGGUGUGAUUGGAAGUACGUACGCUGCGUACACGUCCAGUGAAACCACCGGUGAUCAUUCUUUGUAGCUACGCCGCCAAGUAAGUGAGCAACACAUCGCUUGGGCUUCAGACUCCUCCAACGUUGAGCAUUGGAAUCUCAUGCAACUACUGCCAUCUUUCACCAUGCAGAUCAAUCAGUUCUCGAUGUCUCCUAUUCAAAAAUUGUCGCUCUUCCUGUUGUGUACGCCGUGUUGAAAUCGCCAGCGAAAUCUCUGCCUGGCUAGCUACUAGUAUAGUCUUGCUUGUGAUGUUACCGUCCAUGCAAGUUUAUGGUAAAGACAAAUAGCCAGUAGGGUGUGCCAUAGCUUUUGUACGUGCAACGAAU
rnacentral:lncRNA from 1 species